AUGAACGCGUAGCGGCAGGCUUAAUACAUGCAAGUUGAGGGGCAGCAUGAUAUACGCGAGUAUAUUGAUGGCGACCGGCGGACGGGUGAGUAAUAGGUAGGAGACCUACCUCAUACAGGGGGAUAGCAUAGAGAAAUCUGUGGUAAUACCCCAUGAGGUUAUAUGAAUAGAGGCAUAUAAUCAAAGCAUAAGCGAUUAUGCGGUAUGAGAGGGGCCUACUGACCAUUAGCUAGUUGGUGAGGUAAGGGCUCACCAAGGCGAAGAUGGUUAGGGGUUUGAGAGAGAGACCCCCCACAUUGGAACUGAGAGACGGUCCAGACUCCUACGGGAGGCAGCAGUAGGGAAUAUUGGGCAAUGGGCGAAAGCCUGACCCAGCCAUGCCGCGUGAAGGAAGACGGCCUUAUGGGUUGUAAACUUCUUUACUACGCGAAUAGAGGUUAGUACGAGAUACUAAUAGGAAGGUAGUGUAGUAAAAAGCACCGGCUAACUCCGUG
rnacentral:rRNA from 1 species